GACAGAGGUGCCAAGCGUUAGGCGGAAUCACUGGGCUUAAAGCGUGUGUAGGCGGAAUUGUAAGUACCUUGUGAAAUCCCACGGCUCAACCGUGGAACUGCUCGGUAUACUGCUUUUCUUGAGCCACUUAGGGGCUACCAGAACAAAUGGUGGAGCGGUGAAAUGCGUAGAUAUCAUUUGGAACGCCAAUGGUGAAAACAGGUAGCUGGGAGUGUGCUGACGCUGAGACACGAAAGCCAGGGGAGCGAACGGG
rnacentral:rRNA from 1 species